GGAGAAGGGGAGGAGUGAGUCUCUGAGCGGGUAUUGGCUAGGAUGAACCUACCACACAAACCACAUAUACAGAUUUGUUGCAGACUGGGAGACAUGCAUUCUGUUUGCAAGCUGACAAAGUCUGUUCUACAUUCUGCUCCCAGCUACGUGACCAGGAUCACGAAUUCAUGCACAUUUUCUGCUGCUUUUUCUGGUAAGUUGACCUCACUAAGAAUUAUCCUGUAUUUAUGGUGUACUAAUGCCCACGCUCCCUAUCACUCUUACGAAAACCACUAUUUUACAGAGAGUCUUACAAUCCAUAGGUUAUCUCUGUGCUAGGAGAAGAAAGCCACAAAAAUUUGACUCAACAGCAGCGUGUAGGCUCAGUGCUCAGAGUUGAUAAAAACUUUGGGAUGUUAGGCUUAACACCUUCUCCACCCAAGUGGUUUCAUGCCAGUAAUAUUUCAAAGUGAUUCAAGGAUUCUUUUUUCCAGUGAACAGUGCUUGAAAGAUAGCAGGCUGCAAUGAAGAUCAUAACAAUCCUGUAAUUGUUCUUUGGAAAUUAUCAUCAGGGAAAGUCCUGGGAGUUGUCCUGGAGCUGUUUUGUGUUGUUCCCCAAUAAAGAGCAAGACACCUGCCA
rnacentral:lncRNA from 1 species